UCUCAGUUCGGAUCGGAGUCUGNAACCCGACUCCGUGAAGCUGGAUUCGCUAGUAAUCGCGCAUCAGCCAUGGCGCGGUGAAUACGUUCCCGGGCCUUGUACACACCGCCCGUCAAGCCAUGGAAGCCGGGGGCGCUUGAAGUGCGUUGCCGCAAGGCGCGCCCUAGAGCGAAACCGGUGACUGGGGCUAAGUCGUAACAAGGUACC
rnacentral:rRNA from 1 species